rnacentral:rRNA from 1 species
GCGCAGCAGUCGAGAAACCUUCGCAAUGCAGGAAACUACGACGAGGGAACUCCAAGUGCCUACGCUCAGCGUAGGCUGUUCUCAAGCCUAGAAAGCUUGAGGAGUAAGGGCUGGGUAAGACGGGUGCCAUCUGUGGUAGCAGUCAAUAGAUUCGAUUUGUUACUGCAAGGCAUAAGCCGCCGCGGUAAUACCCGCAGCCCAAGUGGUGGCCGCUUUUAUUGGGCCUAAAGCGUCCGUAGCCGGCCCGGUAAAUGCCUGGGUAAAUCGUGGAGCCCAGCUUCACGAAUUCCGGGUAGACUGCCGAGCUCGGGACCGGAAGAGGGAGAGGGUACUUCGAGGGGUAGGGUGAAAAUUUCCUUCCAUUAACGCUUUUGCGCGAAGCGGAAAGGGUUAU